UACGUAGGGGGCAAGCGUUGUCCGGAUUUAUUGGGCGUAAAGAGCGUGUAGGCGGCUUUACAGGUCCGUUGUGAAAACUCGAGGCUCAACCUCGAGACGCCGGUGGAAACCGUAAGGCUAGAGUCCGGAAGAGGAGAGUGGAAUUCCUGGUGUAGCGGUGAAAUGCGCAGAUAUCAGGAAGAACACCCGUGGCGAAGGCGGCUCUCUGGGACGGUACUGACGCUGAGACGCGAAAGCGUGGGGAGCAAACGGG
rnacentral:rRNA from 1 species